rnacentral:rRNA from 1 species
CAUGCAAGUCGAACGCACUCUUCGGAGUGAGUGGCAGACGGGUGAGUAACGCGUGGGAACCUACCCUUUACUACGGAAUAACUGAGGGAAACUUCAGCUAAUACCGUAUACGCCCUACGGGGGAAAGAUUUAUCGGUAAAGGAUGGGCCCGCGUUGGAUUAGCUAGUUGGUGGGGUAAUGGCCUACCAAGGCGACGAUCCAUAGCUGGUCUGAGAGGAUGAUCAGCCACACUGGGACUGAGACACGGCCCAGACUCCUACGGGAGGCAGCAGUGGGGAAUAUUGGACAAUGGGGGAAACCCUGAUCCAGCCAUGCCGCGUGAGUGAUGAAGGCCUUAGGGUUGUAAAGCUCUUUCAGUGGGGAAGAUAAUGACGGUACCCACAGAAGAAGCCCCGGCUAACUUCGUGCCAGCAGCCGCGGUAAUACGAAGGGGGCUAGCGUUGUUCGGAUUUACUGGGCGUAAAGCGCACGUAGGCGGAUUGUUAAGUCAGAGGUGAAAUCCUGGAGCUCAACUCCAGAACUGCCUUUGAUACUGGCAAUCUCGAGUCCGGAAGAGGUGAGUGGAACUCCUAGUGUAGAGGUGGAAUUCGUAGAUAUUAGGAAGAACACCAGUGGCGAAGGCGGCUCACUGGUCCGGUACUGACGCUGA